rnacentral:rRNA from 1 species
CCUACGGGUGGCAGCAGUGAGGAAUAUUGGUCAAUGGACGCAAGUCUGAACCAGCCAAGUAGCGUGCAGGAUGACGGCCCUCCGGGUUGUAAACUUCUUUUAUAUGGGAAUAAAACAGGGUAUGCAUACCCUCUUGUAUGUACCAUAUGAAUAAGGCUCGGCUAACUCCGUGCCAGCAGCCGCGGUAAUACGGAGGAUCCGAGCGGUAUUCGGAUUUCUUGGGUUUAAAGGGAGCGUAGGUGGAUUGUUAAGUCAGUUGUGAAAGUUUGCGGAUCAACCGUAAAAUUGCAGUUGAAACUGGCAGUCUUGAGUACAGUAGAGGUGGGCGGAAUUCGUGGUGUAGCGGUGAAAUGCUUAGAUAUCACGAAGAACUCCGAUUGCGAAGGCAGCUCACUGGACUUCAACUGACACUGAUGCUCGAAAGUGCGGGUAUCAAACAGGAUUAGAUACCCUUGUAGUC